CUACAGUCACCUACGAGAUAAUAGAAUCUAACAGAUUGGAUAUAUUUUUCUAGUCAGUGGAUAUCGCUACUAAGACAUAGUAAACCUUAUAACUAAACCCCUAUAAUGACCAAGGAAGUAACUAUAUCUUAGAUUUGAUUGACUUAAAUGUUAAUAUUCUUUUUACAUCAAUGUCCAGCACACAGCAUGAUUGAAAGCUGCCAAGUCCAACGACUCAGAGAUCAGGAAGGAAGCUCUUUGGAAACCAAUGGCUGAAAAGUUUACUUUCUGUGAGAAGCAUAAAUCAGAGUCAUAUUUCUGUUUCCAGCAACACAAGAAAGAGAGAUAAACCUGAUAGACUCAAACAGCUGAUCCUGGGAUUCUCUUGGACUAACGGAUGCAUCAUAAGUGACACUGUGUGAUUUCCAAGGCUGGCCUCUUCACGUUUCACUUUCUCAAAGUUGGAAUUCUACUCUUGGAACCCAGCCACUGUACUAUGUGAAGCUGAAUCCACGUAGAAGGCCACGAGGAGAUUCAAGGAGCUCUGGCUGACAGCCCAGCCAAGCGCUACCCUAUAGCCAGCACCGACUGCCAGCUUUGUAAUUGAGCCAUCUUGGAUAGUACAGGCUCACUGUUCCCUCGUAAGACUGCAGCCCCAGCCAGUACCCCAGAGAGCAGAAGAACUGCCCAGCUGACACCAAUCCCACACAGAAUUGCAAGAGAUUAUAAAUGGUCAUAGUUCUAGGCCAUUACGUUUUGGGAGUGGUUUGUUACACAGUGAUAUAUAACUGAAUUGCUCUCCACCUCGGUUCAGCUUUUAGCCUCAACCCGGACCCUUAAUAUCCUCAGUUUUUGGAAAUACAUUCCCAAGCAUUUGGCACACAAUAACUGCUCAGCGAAUAUUACAUGUGUGUGUUUACAAAACACUUCUGUACACUCCAAAAAAGUCAUUUUAGAAAAUUAACUGGUAACUGCAUGUCCUGAUAAUUGCAUGUCUUUAGUGUUUUCACACCACUCAGGGUCAUCACUGUUCUUCUUUGGCAUGACAAUACCAAUUUAGAGGAACAGUGGUGGGAUGUUGCCGUGCUUGCUUUUUACAUCUCUCAACCAAGUCUCAUGAACCCUCUCUAGAUUUAAUAUGUGCAGCUGAGUUCCUUGUGGGUUUCCAAUUAUC